rnacentral:rRNA from 1 species
CCUACGGGAGGCAGCAGUGGGGAAUAUUGCACAAUGGGGGAAACCCUGAUGCAGCGACGCCGCGUGAGUGAAGAAGUAUCUCGGUACGUAAAGCUCUAUCAGCAGGGAAGAAAAUGACGGUACCUGAAUAAGAAGCCCCGGCUAACUACGUGCAAGCAGCCGCGGUACUACGUAGGGGGCAAGCGGUAUCCGGAGUUACUGGGUGUAAAGGGAGCGUAGACGGCAGCGCAAGUCUGGAGGGAAAUCCCAUGGCUUAACCAUGGAACUGCUUUGGAAACUGUGAAGCUAGAGUGCAGGAGAGGUGAGCGGAAUUCCUAGUGUAGCGGUGAAAUGCGUAGAUAUUAGGAGGAACACCAGUGGCGAAGGCGGCUACUGGACUGUAACUGACGUUGAGGCUCGAAAGCGUGGGGAUCAAACAGGAUUAGAUACCCUUGUAGUC